rnacentral:rRNA from 1 species
GACAGAGGUCCCAAGCGUUAGGCGGAAUCACUGGGCUUAAAGCGUGUGUAGGCGGAUGCUUAAGUCCCUUGUGAAAUCCCACGGCUCACCCGUGGAACUGCUUGGUAUACUGGGUGUCUUGAGCCACUUAGGGGCUACCGGAACAAAUGGUGGAGCGGUGAAAUGCGUAGAUAUCAUUUGGAACGCCAACGGUGAAAACAGGUAGCUGGGAGUGUGCUGACGCUGAGACACGAAAGCCAGGGGAGCAAACGGG